UACGUAGGGGGCAAGCGUUGUCCGAAAUUAUUGGGCGUAAAGAGCUUGUAGGCGGUUUGUCGCGUCUGCUGUGAAAUUUCGGGGCUCAACCCCGAACUUGCAGUGGGUACGGGCAGACUAGAGUGUGGUAGGGGAGACUGGAAUUCCUGGUGUAGCGGUGAAAUGCGCAGAUAUCAGGAGGAACACCGAUGGCGAAGGCAGGUCUCUGGGCCAUAACUGACGCUGAGAAGCGAAAGCAUGGGGAGCGAACAGG
rnacentral:rRNA from 1 species